GGACGAACGUGUCCGGGUAUCAUUCAAACACUGGCUCCUUCCUUUGGUUGACUUGGUCUUCACAGAGAAGCUACAGACAUAAGACCUUCGGAUCAGAGAAAUACAACCCAGAAGCUCUGUGUCAACAUCAGGUGCAGCAGUUUCUAUCCUAAAGUAAAUCAACCAGAUGGGAUGGCCCUGUAAAUUAUAGUAUUAGUUACAUGAUGGCCAAAACAUACAGCUACAGAAGAAUGGAAGUGGUUGUGCAACCCCCAGGAGUGGCAGAAUUUAAAGAAAGAUGGCCGCCCCUCUUCUAACCAUUCAAGAUGAGUGAGGAGGUUCGUAGGUGCACUGCAGUUCCACUACAGUCAACAUUGAUGUCCCAGCUGGACAGGUACACUCCAAAGCUCCUGCAGCUGUUUGAUGCAACGGGAGUAGCAGAGGAUCAGAACAUCAAGAACAUGCUGAUGGAACUGAUACAGGGAACAACAGAACCAACAGAGACAAAUAUUAGACCCUCCAGAAAAACGCGGACAAAAAUCCUUGAUUAUGUGAAUAAAUAUGCGGGGUUUUUAUGCCAUUUUAUGCGGGGAAAUUGUGGAAACUUGCAAAGUAUGCAAAUAGUUGUGAAAUAUGCAAAAAUAUGCGUGAUUCACCUGCCGUCUGGCCUGGAGGGAUGUGUUCUCUAAUCAGACACUGGGACUGCUGCAGGGUUACUGGACUGACAGUCUGUGCUCUGGGAGGGGGAGAAGCUCACAGCAGCACCUGCUGCUUGUUGAGGACAGUAACUGCAGAAUGAUCCCAGUUUUCCUGUCAGUCUCCAAAACGGCAGAAAAAGUCGCUAGAUUUGUGGCUCGUCGCUUUUGACAAAAAAAGUCGCUAGGAGCUUUGGAAAGUCGCUAGAUUUAGCGAGAAAGUCGUUAAGUUGGCAACACUGGCGCCGUGCUCCGCAUCAGCUCGUGCUUCCAGUGUGUGUGUGAAUGUGUGAACUGAUGACGUCAGGCCAGGCGUCACAUAAAAACUCACAACUCCAUUUAUAUCGGUUAUAGUUUUCUCAUUUUAUGCGGAAAUUGUGAAAUCAAGCGGGACCCGCAUAUUUCUCUUUAUUUUCGUGGAAAUGUGAGAUUCUUGCGGGAAUUAUGCGCUGUUUUGUGGGGAUUAUGCGGCCUUUUGGGAAAUAAUUGACCCCUGCAUAAUCAGCGGCAUUUUGGUGAUUAAUGCAGGAAUUCAUGCGAUCGCAUAAUCGCGUUUUUCUGGAGGGUCUAACAUAUACACGAGGAACUGAAAACUCAAAGGUUGAGAAUCUACACUUGCCAGGAACAAGAUGCUGCUGGUAUUCUCAUCGAGGAUGUCCCAGUGCUUCCUUGUCUUGAAACUCCAGCAAGAGUAUGCUGCCUACUCCUUGGAUUAACAUAUGCCCUAAAUCUGGAAUAUACACCCAAACUCUGACAUUUGAGGUCUUCUAAAGACUUUGUUUUACUAGACUUUCUGCGGUCAAAACCAACAGCAGCUUCUUGCCUAAGCUGGUCCACCGUGAACAGUUUUAGCUCCUGUUCAACGUCAUACCUGGGUUUACAGACAGCCGUGGAGCUGAAUGGAGAGCACCCAUCAACAAAUCAAUUGUUCUUUUGUUAAUUGUCCUUGUAGGCAGGUGUAGGUGGAGUUUAUGACAAAUGUUUUCACUGUGAAGAUUUUAUCAGCUGCAGGUCAGAAUUUGUAUUCUGUAAAUUAUUGAAGUGUUCUAAUAUGAAUCUUAAAAUCAAAAACUUUGUUGUUAUCAUCCCUUGGACAUAUGUGCAUAUGCUAAAAACACUGUUCUGUUCAGCACUUGAAGAUCAGGUCACAGUUUAAUUUGAUCUAUUUUAGUUUUUAAAAUGGAAAUUGUAUUUAAACGGUUAAGAACUGUGAAGUUGAAGAAAAUGCUUUUGAUUAGUAAAUGUUGGACACAAAUACUUGUCUUUCUUCAAUGUACCAGAUUUCAUUGUUUUCAUACUAAUUUUAUAAAGUAAUUUAGACUUUCAAAACAUGCAAAUUAAUUUUAUUAAAUCAAUAAGAUUGAGUGCAUGACAUCAUCUUACUUUAUUUAAUUAAGUAUGAUGUCAUUAACAACUGACUGUUUUUUAAGUUAGUUCAACUCAAUUUUUUGGCUUUUUAAUUAUUAUUUUUAUCCCCCGCUGGCCGUAGGCACGGAGGGGGAUAUUGGCGUGGGCACGUCCGUCCGUCCGUCCGCAUUUCAUUUCCGGAGCAUAUCUCUGAAACUACUUGAGGGAUUUCAUUCAUAUUGCACCCAGGCCAUCUCUAUAUAGUCUAGAUGUGCCUUUUGGGGUGCAUGACCUUGACCUCAUUUUCAAGGUCAUAGUGAGGCACUCCAAAUAUUGUUUUGUUUCCGGAUCAUUUCUCACAAACUGCUUGAGGGAUUUCACUCAUAUUGCGCACACUAAGCCUGUUGGUAAUGUAGAUGUGGUUUUUGGGGUGCAUGACCUUGACCUGACUUUUUUUUUUAUUGUAGUGAAGAUGUAUCAUUUUGUAGGUGUAUCAUCCACUAUAUAUUAUUAUUUCUUGCACUUAGAGGUACUAUAUAAGGCGGGGGAUGUUUUAAGUGGAGCGUGUUUAUUCUUCAAGGCUAUACUCAAAACUUUUAACUUGGUGAAAUACACAAUUUUGAGUUUUCCUAAAUCAAAAAGAGAGAAGUUCACUAAACUACUGAAAAAUGCUUGGAAAAUGUUGCCUCAUUUUUUUGAGUAGGAUCUAAGCAACAGUUUUUGCCAGAAACAGAAUCAACCGAGUUCACUUGUGUCCAACAGCAGAAUGUUAAUGAUGAUCACAAACGUUGUCCUAAAACAUUCAGUGCUUCAUGUUUCGUUUAGGUAGUGUCUACAGAUACGGACCCGUACCCGUAGCCUGUGGCUUACGAAUACGGCACUUUCCCUUAUCAUAAAUAUUAAUGAGACGGACAUGAAUAUUAAUGAGCCCUACAGGUACGGGUCUGUACCUGUAGCAUCAACCUUUAGUUUAACUCACAAGAAGAUUUACAAAUCAUCCAGCAAAGACUUGAAUUAAUGACCUAGAACAUAAAUCUCAUUAAAGAAAUCAAAUAAGUGA